AUUGAACGCUGGCGGCAUGCCUUACACAUGCAAGUCGAACGGCAGCGGGGGAGAAGCUUGCUUUUCCUGCCGGCGAGUGGCGAACGGGUGAGUAAUACAUCGGAACGAGCCCUGUAGUGGGGGAUAACUAGUCGAAAGAUUAGCUAAUACCGCAUACGACCUGAGGGUGAAAGUGGGGGACCGCAAGGCCUCAUGCUAUAGGAGCGGCCGAUGUCUGAUUGGCUAGUUGGUGGGGUAAAGGCCUACCAAGGCGACGAUCAGUAGCUGGUCUGAGAGGACGAUCGGCCACACUGGGACGGGGAAACGGCCCAGACUCCUACGGGAGUCAGCAGUGGGGAAUUUUGGACAAUGGGAGAAAGCCUGAUCCAGCAAUGCCGCGUGUGUGAAGAAGGCCUUCGGGUUGUAAAGCACUUUUGUCCGGAAAGAAAUGGCUCUGGUUAAUACCUGGGGUCGAUGACGGUACCGGAAGAAUAAGGACCGGCUAACUACGUGCCAGCCGCCGCAGUAA
rnacentral:rRNA from 1 species